GCAAAGGAUCUGAGGUGCUGUGCUGGUUGUGCUGACCUUGAGGAGCUCCUGUCUAGGAAGCAACUGUGUGUUUGCUGAGCAAGUGCACACCUCGCUGCAAUAGGAAUUUGGCUCAAGACUCACCUCAAACAGGAAAAAUCCAAAUCAGAUGCUCAGUAAGAAGUGAGAGUUCACAGUCAGGCAUUAAAUAGAGAAGGGCUGAUCAUUCACCACUGAUUGAGGAGGAAUAUGGGAAGGACAGAAGUGGGGCAYGGAGUGUGUGCUGGGAGGAUCCGAAGAAGGGAAAUCGGCUUCCAAGACAUGAAGACUCGGAGAUGAGCGUCCCUGGUGUUAACCUGGGCAACUGGCUCAUCCGCUCUGCUGCUGAAUGCCAGAGUAUCUUUAGGUCCAAAUGAAAGCUGUUUUUAAUAGCUGGGAGAAAUGUGUAGAUCUCAACAAGUAGGGCAUGGCCUUGCAGACAAGCCCUGACUCUUUGCUGAAGCUUUUGUGAUGAYUGAUGAACAAGCUACCAAGUCUCAUAUGAGUCUUGUGGCAAAUAUGGAAGUGAUAUUAAAAAGUUAAAGAAGAGGUUAAUUAAAGCGUGUUCCCAUCUCAACAUACAAUCACUGGAACAUGUUUUCCUUGUACUUACAGAAUUUCUUAGGCUAAUGAUUAUCUUCAUUUAAAAACUCUGCUCUUUUUGUUGAAGUAGACAGUUUCAUAGCAAUCUUCAUUUUUGAAAUGUAAUUUCUUCAGUAGCCAUCACAAUUAAAAUGCUCAUUACAUUAGAAAACUCAGAAUGGUAACUUUCUCUUUUUUUUCCCCCACUCAUGUGGUUUGGGUUUUACAUGUGCU